UACGUAGGGUGCGAGCGUUGUCCGGAAUUAUUGGGCGUAAAGAGCUUGUAGGCGGUUUGUCGCGUCUGCUGUGAAAAUCCGGGGCUCAACCCCGGACUUGCAGUGGGUACGGGGCAGACUAGAGUGCAGUAGGGGAGACUGGAAUUCCUGGUGUAGCGGUGGAAUGCGCAGAUAUCAGGAGGAACACCGGUGGCGAAGGCGGGUCGCUGGGCUGUGAA
rnacentral:rRNA from 1 species